GACGAACGUUGGCGGUGCGCUUUAUACAUGCAAGUCGUGCGCGAAAGGCCCCUUCGGGGGCCGAGUAGAGCGGCGGACGGGUGCGUAACACGUGAGCAACCUGCCCUGGAGUGGGGAAUAACUCCGAGAAAUCGGGGCUAAUACCGCAUGAUGUCGCAGCUCCGCAUGAAGCUGCGCUUAAAGUCGGCCUCUGCUUGCAAGCUGGCGCUCCAGGAUGGGCNCGCGGCCUAUUAGCUAGUUGGCGGGGUAAUGGCCCACCAAGGCUACGAUGGGGUAGGGGGCGUGAGAGCGUGGCCCCCCACAUUGGGACGUGAGAUACGGCCCACGACUCCUACGGGAGGCAGCAGUAAGGAAUCUUGCGCAAUAGGGCGGAAAGCCUGACGCAGCGACACCGCGUGAGGGAU
rnacentral:rRNA from 1 species